rnacentral:rRNA from 1 species
UACGUAGGGCGCAAGCGUUGUCCGGAAUUAUUGGGCGUAAAGAGCUCGUAGGCGGCUUGUCACGUCGGGUGUGAAAGCCCGGGGCUUAACCCCGGGUCUGCAUUCGAUACGGGCAGGCUAGAGUGUGGUAGGGGAGAUCGGAAUUCCUGGUGUAGCGGUGAAAUGCGCAGAUAUCAGGAGGAACACCGGUGGCGAAGGCGGUUCUCUGGGAAUAUCCUGACGCUGAGAAGCGAAAGCAUGGGGAGCGAACAGG